UUGUAUGUAAGAUUUAUUUCACAUAGGUUAUAGAACUGUUCUGCUCGAUAAAGUCAAAGAUGAAAAUCAAAAAAAAAAAUCAAAGAUGAUUCUAUUAAUAUACAAAGAUAACUUUUCUUAUAAAACAUCUGAUUUAAGAUGUUGACUUUUUAAGAUACAAAAAAGUAUUCAUAGAAGUAUCAUUACACAAAUCAAUAUAUAUAUAUAUGGAUAUUUAACUUAAAUACGAUAAAUACGAUAGAUACGAUAAAUAUAUUAUAUUAGUCUAAUAAUUCGACAAGCUAUAGUAGGCCAACUGUUGUUGACGAUCAAUUGCAAGUAAUUAAGUUAGGUGAUACACAGUAUGUAAAUAGGAUAAAGUGAAAUGUAUUAAACGUAAAGAAUAAACAAAUACAGUACCGAAAAAGAUAGCAGGUAGUCCAUUUUUGCCUACACCAAGAGGCACUUGGCACACCGGAAGUUUUAAAACAUUAAAAAGACACCAAUAACCAAAAUUAAAUGGUCUUAAAUAAGCUGUAUAAUGAUAACCAGUUUGAAAAGGUGAAGAUGGAUAAAUUAGUAUACCAUUAUGCUUCAAUUUAUCCUAAAAAUAAAAGUAUAAUUGCAGCACAAUACAAACGGAAGCAAGUAGUAUGGUGUACUGUCAAGUGCAUUUGCCAAACUUGCUGCAUGCAGAGAUUAGAGUAAAAAAUAUUUACUUUAUAUUAUAUAAUUACAUUAUAUAAGUCAUGAUUAAAUAAUAAUAAAAUUAUAUUAAACAAGAAUUUACCAUUAAAUAUUGUUUCAUAUUUGUUGUUACAUUCAUUGCCCAUUCAGCAUCUUCUCGAGGGAAUAUGUCCUCAUCAAUUAGUUUCAGAAUAGCAGCUAACGUUAAGUCUGAUCUC